ACUCCAAGAUCCACGCCGACGACACUUGCCGUGACUCAUUUGCUUCCACUAAAUUCCCCCCACCUCUGUCUCUUACUAAUUACACGGCUUUUAAGUUACGACACUUGUUUUCAUAGUAAUUCAUCGAGUCUCCAGGCAUGUACGGGAAGGCACCCGCACAGAGCGCUUCUUUACCAACCGGAUCUUUCUCGAGAUCCCUCAUUGGCUCAGUAUUGAACGGGAUGCCGCCGGCGCCACAGCUGCUUCUUCGUAACUCCCGUCGCUCCCCUCUUCACACGUGCCGAGUGUCUUCGAACUUCACACCUAGAGGGACGGAAUUGGCCGCUCUAGUCGGCCUACAGCCUCUUCGGCGUAACUCCAAGGUCUUCGCUAUUUAUAUCCCGCAUUGAGAGAAACUUUGGACACCAGAAAACGAGGCUUUGGACAGCUGCGUACAAUUAAUAUAAUGACCUUAGUAAAAAUAACCCGCGGCUCUGCAUUCCGACUGAUAAUUAUUAUCGAAUGUACGUUUAAUCAUACUUCACGGAGAAAAAGAGCCUUAAGGUGAUAUGAAAGACUUGUUCUAUAUAUCGAAAUGUGAAAAUAUUUAUUCUACUCUUCUCCUAACUGAGCGGAAUAUUGCGAAGAAUGUGGAAUACUGACCACUAUACUACCGAGGAAAAUUAGAUAUAUGUGUUUCGUAGAUUUGCAUUUAGUGACAUUACCUCUUUAUUGGGAAAUAGAUAAGCGGACUAACGAUUAGAAUUUUUAAGGGAUUAAUUAUAAGCCGAAUUGUCGACGAAUUCGAGAAUUCAUAUAAAAAUCCAUAAUUGUUAUGGAGAAAUAUUGGGAAGAAUGUGGAAUACUGACCACUAUACUACCGAGGAAAAUUAGAUGUAUGUGUUUCAUAGAUUUGCAUUUAAUGACAUUACCUCUUUAUUGGGAAAUAGAUAAGCGGACUGACGAUUAGAGCCUGUAAACGAUUAAUUAUAACCCCAAAUUUCGAGGAAAACAUUGAAUAUCAAAUUUACAAUCGUUGUACUUGCAAAAGUCUACUGAUACACGACAUUAAGUGUUCAAUUGCAUAAAUCUGUUCCAGACAUGUCUUUGCACUACAUAUAGCAUUACUUGAUACUUUUCGAACAGAUAAGCAAACGAUGUGAUGAAUUGCAUAAUAAAGACGUCUCAAGGUCA
rnacentral:lncRNA from 1 species